rnacentral:lncRNA from 10 species
UUUUUUUUGCGAGAGGCCUAGGUUUGCAGUCUGCAGAGCUAUCUACAGGGCUGGCAGGAGACUCCUGAAAAGAAACCAGAGAAGCUUGCUGACAAAAGACUGGAAUUCUGAGACAGGCUCAUUUCCAGCUUUGACGUGCCCGCUGUCUGUCAAGGGCCCAGUGAAUGCUUCCCACCCCUAGGGCUCAGCCGCCUCCAGGACCAAGGGGCCCAUUGGGCAAUCUAUCACGGAGCACACCUGGUCUGCCCAAAGGACACAGCAGAUUUUUUACUCCUGAGGGCCCAAAUGAGGGAUGCUUUCCUCCAGAGAUUUCUGUCUAGUUCUGCUGUGAAUCAGGUGCACCGAAGACUUGAAGACAUAUCCAUCACCUUUGAGCAUCUCAUAUCUGCAAGGACUGCCAAGCUCAACUCCUCCACCUUGCUCUUUGUCCUAGGCUCAGGAGCCUAAUUGCAAUGUUCAUCUGUAAAUUGAUGAAUGAAUGCUUGGCAUAGACUGAU